rnacentral:pre_miRNA from 1 species
AGUUCCUGUCACACGUCACAAAGGACAGUCAAUGUGUAUCCUCCUUGUGCGUGUCACAGUAACACA